rnacentral:lncRNA from 1 species
AUGCUCCAUCACUGUCUCUGCUCCAUCACUGCUCCAUCACUGCUCCAUCACUGUCUCUGCUCCAUCACUGCUCCAACACUGUCUCUGCUCCAUCACUGCUCCAUCACUGCUUCAUCACUGUCUCUGCUCCAUCUAUGCUCCAUCACUGUCUCUGCUCCAUCACUGCUCCAUCACUGUCUCUGCUCCAUCUCUGCUCCAUCACUGCUUCAUCACUGUCUCUGCUCCAUCACUGCUCCAUCACUGUCUCUGCUCCAUCACUGCUCCAUCACUGUCUCUGCUCCAUCUCUGCUCCAUCACUGCUUCAUCACUGUCUCUGCUCCAUCACUGCUCCAUCACUGUCUCUACUCCAUCUCUGCUCCAUCACUGCUUCAUCACUGUCUCUGCUCCAUCUAUGCUCCAUCUAUGCUCCACCACUGUCUCUGCUCCAUCACUGCUUCAUCACUGUCUCUGCUCCAUCUAUGCUCCAUCUAUGCUCCACCACUGUCUCUGCUCCAUCACUGUCUCUGCUCCAUCUCUGCUCCAUCACUGCUUCAUCACUGUCUCUGCUCCAUCACUGUCUCUGCUCCAUCUAUGCUCCAUCUAUGCUCCAUCACGGUCUCUGCUCCAUCACUGCUCCAUCUAUGCUCCAUCACUGUCUCUGCUCCAUCACUGCUCCAUCUAUGCUCCAUCACUGUCUCUGCUCCAUCACUGCUCCAUCACUGUCUCUGCUCCAUCUCUGCUCCAUCACUGCUUCAUCACUGUCUCUGCUCCAUCUAUGCUCCACCACUGUCUCUGCUCCAUCACUGCUCCAUCACUGUCUCUGCUCCAUCUCUGCUCCAUCACUGCUCCUUCACUGCUCCAUCACUGUCUCUGCUCCAUCACUGCUCCAUCACUGCUCUGUCCCUGCUCCAUCACUGUCCCUUCACUGCUUCAUCACUGUCUCUGCUUAAUCUCUGCUCCAUCACUGCUCCAUCACUGUCACUGCUCCAUCACUGCUCCAUCACUGCUCUGUCCCUGCUCCAUCACUGUCCCUUCACUGCUCCAUCACUGUCUCUGCUCCAUCACUGCUCCAUCACUGCUCCAUCACUGCUUCAUCACUGCUUCAUCACUGUCUCUGCUCCAUCUAUGCUCCACCACUGUCUCUGCUCCAUCACUGCUCCAUCACUGUCUCUGCUCCAUCUCUGCUCCAUCACUGCUCCUUCACUGCUCCAUCACUGUCUCUGCUCCAUCACUGCUCCAUCACUGCUCUGUCCCUGCUCCAUCACUGUCCCUUCACUGCUUCAUCACUGUCUCUGCUUAAUCUCUGCUCCAUCACUGCUCCAUCACUGUCACUGCUCCAUCACUGCUCCAUCACUGCUCUGUCCCUUCUCCAUCACUGUCCCUUCACUGCUCCAUCACUGUCUCUGCUCCAUCACUGCUCCAUCACUGCUCCAUCACUGCUUCAUCACUGCUUCAUCACUGUCUCUGCUCCAUCUAUGCUCCACCACUGUCUCUGCUCCAUCACUGCUCCAUCACUGUCUCUGCUCCAUCUCUGCUCCAUCACUGCUCCUUCACUGCUCCAUCACUGUCUCUGCUCCAUCACUGCUCCAUCACUGCUCUGUCCCUGCUCCAUCACUGUCCCUUCACUGCUUCAUCACUGUCUCUGCUUAA